AUUGAACGCUGGCGGCAGGCCUAACACAUGCAAGUCGAGCGGUUGAGGUAGCUUGCUACCGAUGCAGCGGCGGACGGGUGAGUAAUACAUGGGAAUCUGCCUGGUAGUGGGGGACAACGUUUCGAAAGGAACGCUAAUACCGCAUACGCCUACGGGGAAAGGGGGGAGUCUUCGGACCUCUCGCUAUCAGAUGAGCCCAU
rnacentral:rRNA from 1 species